CUAUAUCCGUUGCAUCUCCUUCUCCUUACUCUCUAUUUUUUUUUUUUUCUUUUUCUUCUGUCAAGAUCCUCCACCGCAAACCCAUUUUCUUCCUUCAAAAAUUGGGUCCAAGCAGGUCAAAAUAGUAAGCUCUCUGCAUCUCCAAAGGUUGAAGCAAGUCAAAAUGGUCGAUGUUGUUUUGUAUUUUCAUCAUUAUCUUUUCAAAAGUUUCCAUCCAAUUUUGGGAUUUUGGAAUUCUGGCUGCCUUUCUUUCUUUUUGCUGAAUAUUUUAUGGCUAGCUUUUGAUUUUUCUAGGUUUGCAUAAUAUUUGCAGAUAAUACUUGGGUUUGCGAAUUUCUAUUGUUUAUUUGUUUAAUUUGUUUAUCAUAAUAUAUAUUUGGUUCAAAAGGAGGUUUGGCACUGAAAAGCGUUUGAUUGGUAAUUGAAGGUUGGAGUUUCAAUUCAGUCAGCUUUGUGUUCGUUGUAUAACCAUGUAUAGCCACAUAAGAAAGCUUUCAUAUUUUUGAUAUCUGUAUAACCAACUCUAUAUAUAGAUAUGAUGUUGAUAUUGUUGGCAAAGGAAGGUUUUAUUUUUCUUUCUCUCGAUUUAUAUAUAUAUAUAUAUAUAAGUCUAAAGCUCCGGUGGAAGUUUAUGCACAAGUAUUAUCUCGGCUGUGGCUAUUGUUGGUAGCUGGCUAGUGGCACAUGUGAUGAAGUUGGAAGAGUUAUGUUGUUGUUUAGAGAGAGUGAGUUGUAGUUGCUUGACUUGUUUUUAUGUAUAAGUGAUUAUAAUUCCAUAUUAUCUAUAAGAAAAAUGCUACCUUGUUGAUCAGCUAUUAAAUUUUGCAUGA